rnacentral:lncRNA from 9 species
GCUUUAAAAGGGAGCAUGCAACUAUGGCAAAUCUAGCAGGGUGUCCUGGCCCAGCAUGCCCCUCCAAGGAAAAAGUAAGAGACUGGCCCCCAUGUCUUCCACUGCUGAUCUUAAGAUUACUAAUAAUACUAAUAACCCCUGUUGUGUAACCCAUAUCGUGCUCUGAGCCCUGUUGCGUGUUGCAAAACAGGUAUGACAACAAAAGGACUUGGCCCGAAUGACAGACUUGGAUGCUGGUUUACUGUGUCACCAGACGAGGGAGAUGAGAGAGCAGCAUGCAGAAGGCCUGACAGAUGAGCCCUGCUGGCCCGGGGGUCUUUAAGCAGAAAGACUGAGAAUACCCCAGACCAGAGUGAAACACAGAACAGAAUGUGAAAAUGUAACAGUCCUCCAAGAUGUAUUUUCCCUUCCACCCAGGCAAACAUUAUUUGAUUGAUUCAGUAAAAUAUCUUUUUUUUUUUUUUUUUUUUUUUUGGAAAAGAGGGUCAAUAUUGUUCAGAAUGAUUGGCCUGCACAUUUCCACUUUUCAAUUCCAUCACAGAGCUCCUUGGGGGAGUCUCCAAGGAUCACAAAGCGUGAACAACGUACCUGGAGUUGACUCCUUGGAACUCAGGGUUUGCUUGCUGGUAAUGCUUUUAAUGUUGAGCAACAAAGUUCCUCUAAACUCAAGUAGAUUGGAACCUUGACAUGAUCAACAUAAGAAACUUGGCCACAAAGUGUCCUCAAGCUACUGGAGCAUAAACCUGAACCAGUAUUGUGUCGGUUGCAAUUUGCUCUUAUCUAUCCAUCAGCAUCCUCUCCAACUAAAUAUAAGUGAGUAUGAAGAGCAGUUGCAGAUAUAGACAGGCAUCAGUGUCUCUAGAAUUAUGAGAAUCACUGACCUAUGAAAUAUCAGUGUUCAAAAGUUCUGAUUUCUCCCGUGAGGUACUUUUCAUGUCUUAUUUUGCUAUCUGAAUGCAAAUGAGCCUUAGUAAACCCUUCCUCACCUGGGUUCUUUGCAUGAUGGUGCAACUGCAUCUGUUUAUUACAGACAAUUAACAAAUAUAUAGCCCAGUUUAGAUUUAUACAAAUCGACUAUUAGGGCAGUUACCAAAAAAAAAAAAAAAUAAUAAUUGAAGGUGAAAACAAGACUGUCUUUAAUUACAGCUCUGUUGAUUCUUGGCUUUCUAUAAUUAUUAUGAUUAGCAACAGUGUGUAGGUAUGUUCACAGCAAGGACUCCAAAUCAAGAAUGGAGAAUUUGAGUCCAGGAUCUACCACUUAUUAAUGCUUGGAUCUUGGAGCAAUCACUUCCUCUGUCUGACCUUGGGAAAACUGGGAUAUGCCUCCUUUCCAUUCUUAUCUUACUGGCUUACUCAGUGACUUAGAUGACAGGAUAGAUGUGAUAGCUCUUGGUGAGAUAAUCCAAACCUCUAAUCUUAUCUGCUUAGAAGAGCUGUAGAAAAUCAGGAGCACAUUGACUGUGUCCUAGGAGAUACACAGACAGCUCUUAGGAAAAGUUACUUCUGCUGUUGUUGUUUCAGCCGUUUUCAUUAUUUAACGGCCAUGACUAGGUGCAAUAGUAAUCCCAUCUCUCCUUCUUAGGUGCCUCAUACACCUUGCAUGUAUUUGAUUCAACAAGAGCUGAUGAAGAGCCUACUGUGUAACAGACACUGUUGCAGAGGACAUGGAGUUGAGUCAGAAACGUUCUCACCACAUACGAGUAAUUCUAAUGAAAGACAGAAGUGCAAAGGGGCUUGAGUGGUGGCACAAGCUCUUUGUUGAAGGAGAGCUUCAUUCCCACGGGGGGUAGGGUGGGGUGAAGAAGCUGGUUCAUAGGAAAGGUGAGAUUUCAGCAGGUCCUUAAAGGGCCUGACACAAGUAUCGGCUAGAUACUUCCUAAAAAAUUCAUCCCCCCUGCAACAAAAAUCACCAUUAAAAGCAAAGCUGGUUGAAUUCAUCCCUGGGUGGCAAACAUGCUUUGGUCUUCUUCUUUGUGGCCGAAUGUCUUUGUUUUGCAGAUGACGUGAUGGGUGCUCUGUAAAUGCCAUGGUGGGAAUUACAGAGCAAAGUCAUACUGCAUUUUUGGAAUGCAGUUGAGGGGGUCAGACCCUAAAGAGAGCGAGUGUACCUUCCUCCAAGACCUUGGCCAGGUCUCUUUCCUUCUCUCACCACGAUACUGGAGAGACCCAGCUGCUGUGCCUGACAGGCUCGUGAGCUGUUUGCUGCUUGGGAAGUCUCUGGAAUCGACUUUCAAAUAGCAAGAAUAAAGCCACUUUCUGGAAGCAUGCUGGGGACGAUAAUGACUAUCAUAUGAGAUUUAGGAUGGGGAGAGUGUCAUGGGGAGCAGCCAUCACUUCUCUGUAUGGGAGGACCAGCUUGAGCACUAAUACUGGAAUAAAAGGAAAAGGUGAUUAACAGAGGCAAUUGUCUGCUGUGUCUAAGAGAGCUUCCUAGGACAUUUUAAGAAGGUUAAUAAUCUUCAUAGAUAACUGGAAUAUUGGGGUUGUUGUGGGCAGGGGAAAUGGCUAAUAUUUAAUCUGUAAUUAUUGAUGGCAUCCUAAUGCUUUGAGAAAAAGAAAGCUGAUUGGCCGAAAGGCUUAGCAUGGAAAGCUCAUUGGGGAAUAUUAGAGGAUGGGUUGGCCAGCAUUUGAGUUAUCGCCAUGCAGUUAUCAAGUAGUCAGUGUUUCCUGUUUUAGCAGAAAUAAUGUCUGAGGAGCAGGCAGGGGCUUGUGGGAACAAUGAUUAUACUUUGGAGGGAGUCUCCAAAGGGUGCAGACAGUACUUUCAAGAGUAGCCUAUGCCUGCAUCCUCACCCACCUGCAGGACUAAUUUUGUCUUUGUUUAGGCUGUUGGUGAAGUCUUUGAGCUGAAGUCUCCCUUGCAUAAAGCAUGAUAGAAUUUUUUUUUCCUUUUUUUUAUUGAGGUAUAAUUGAUUUAUAAUAUUUUGUUAAUUUCUUCUGUACAACAAAGUGAUUCAGUUAUACACAUAUACAUACAUAUGUAUGUGAUAUAUAUACAUAUACACAUAUUCUUUUAAAUACUCUUUUCUAUUAUGAUUUAUCACAAGAUUUGAAUAUAGUUCCCUGUGCUAUGUAGUAGGACCUUGUUGUUUAUCCAUUCUAUAUAUAAUACUUUGCACCUGCUAACCCCAAACUCUCACAACAUCCCCUGCUCCCCCUUGGU